GACAGAGGUCCCGAGCGUUAGACGGAAUCACUGGGCUUAAAGCGUGUGUAGGCGGAAGGGUAAGUACCUUGUGAAAUCCCACGGCUCAACCGUGGAACUGCUUGGUAUACUGCUUUUCUUGAGCCACUUAGGGGCAACCGGAACAAAUGGUGGAGCGGUGAAAUGCGUAGAGAUCGGAAGGAACACCAGUGGCGAAGGCGGCUACCUGGCCCAAUACUGACACUGAGGCACGAAAGCGUGGGGAGCAAGCAGG
rnacentral:rRNA from 1 species